rnacentral:rRNA from 1 species
GGCUCAGAGUGAACGCUGGCGGCGUGCUUAACACAUGCAAGUCGAACGAGAACGGAUUAUAGCUUGCUAUAAUUGUCAGCUAAGUGGCGCACGGGUGAGUAAUGUAUAGGUAAUAUGCCUCUUACUAAGGGAUAACAAAUGGAAACGUUUGCUAAUACCUUAUACUCCUUAUUAACAGAAGUUAAUAAGGGAAAGAUUUAUUGGUAAGAGAUUAGCCUGUAUUGUAUCAGUUAGUUGGUGGGGUAAUGGCUUACCAAGACUAUGACACAUAACUGGUUUGAGAGGAUGAUCAGUCACACUGGAACUGAGACACGGUCCAGACUCCUACGGGAGGCAGCAGUGGGGAAUAUUGCACAAUGGACGGAAGUCUGAUGCAGCAACGCCGCGUGGAGGAUGACACAUUUCGGUGCGUAAACUCCUUUUAUAUGAGAAGAUAAUGACGGUAUUAUAUGAAUAAGCACCGGCUAACUCCGUG